GACAACUUUGUGGAGUUGGCUUUCUCUUCCCCAAUUUAUAUAGUUCCGGGAAUAGAACUCAGGUCCUCCCACCUCCUCCCAUAUCCUGUACAUAGUAGUGAUGUCCAUAGGAACACAACAAAAGAAAAGAAACCAUGAGCAACAUUUCCAGAGGAAGGACAUUUGUGACAGUGAACGAGGAAGCCUCAGAAGCAGCACUGAGCCCGUCUACAUGAGAAUGUCAAGUCAACAAACGAGAAAGGACUCUAGGAAAUUCUGCUUCUUCUCAUUUCAUUGUAAUUCACCUUUGGUUUCCAGUCCCAACCUUAAGGUAUGUCCACAUUUGACUAAGUUCAAAGAUGGUCGGUCUAUAGAACCAGACAACUGUCACGACUCUAUUAAAUCAGAUUCUAUUCCCUCCAACUGCAUUCAUCAUUGAGCCAGGCAAGCUGUUUAACUAAUUAGCAUCUGGGCCCAAGAACUGCACUAAUUUACUGAUUCAAUUUUUCUGUCACUGCAGGCAAACUGAACCUCUCAAUCUCUGUCAGCUGUAGACUAGGAGGAAGUCGACAGGCUUCAUUUUUAAUGAUUACUUAAUUCAAGCUCUAGCGGUACAGUAGUCUUAGGCAUGCAAUACUGCCCGUGCCGGACUUCAACUGGUUAAAUGCAGAACGAAGGCAAGGAUGGAGUGCAAACACAGGGCAAGCUCACUGGCAACACAGAGAAGGCACAUCACCCUUACAAGCAGAAUAACCACGGGUCAGUUUCAGGUUCUGCUUCGCCGAAAACAUCCACGGUAACUGUGGAGCUCCUUCCCAGAAAGGGUUCUGCUUUAUCUGUGAGAGGAGAAGGCGUAUGGCUCUAUUUCCUUAUGAACUUCUUUCCGGAGGUAGGGACUAGAAUCGAUGCUUCUACAAGUCACUCCUGGCCUAAGACGUUACUAUUGUAUGUAAAAAUUGAAACCCAGUUAACUUUGUGGGGUAUUAUCAUCUCAUGUCUAUGACAUAGGUGAUCCCAAAACUAGACAGAUCAUAAAUCUCACAGACUGGCUUUGUGGCCUAGAGUAGGCAUGGAGAAUUUGAGCUACUUUCUUGGACUAGACCUUUAGGCCUCUAGGUUGCCAUUCUCCAUUCCUAAGCAUUGUCAGAACUCCUUUAUAUGUCCCUUAUUGAGAGUGGCUUCUACCUUAAUCUCCCAUGCUGGCCCUUCCCUGUAAUCAAAGACGGGCACAGCUGCUACAUAAUACUUUAGCACUGAGUGUGUGUCAUGCGAUGCCCUUGCUAGAUGUGGCACAUCGCAAGCAUAAAGCAAUCCCUUAAUAGCUAGAAGAUCGUCUCAGCCCUCAUAAGUCUGUCGCAAUGAUGUGGGUACUUGGCAGUGUUUUGUUCUACCCGCCUUCUCUUUCCCAGAUGUUCCUUGACUGUUAGAUAAAAGGGCAAUUUCCCCCUCUGUGCUUCUCUUACAGGUUUACGCAUUGGAAACGACUGUUACCUCUUCAGCCUAUGGCUGCCCGACAGACUGCUCCAUUUUGUACAAAGCUAUCAUCUAUUCUUUGGAUAUUUGGUUUUGUAAUUCUUCAUAAGCCUGUGUCAUUAUCCUGACACUAUAACGACCAAGACUGUGUCAGCUGACAUGAAGGAUGGUCCUGUGGCAUCCCACAGAAAGAAGUGCCAAACUUAGAGGACUACUCUUUGGAAUGAGGCAGGAAGUACCUGCAACAAAGUAAUUCUCUGGAAGGUUCCAGUCAAAAGUGAGCAGCAGACUGCACAGAGGAAGAAACAAUUUAUAAUAGACUGGAGUCUCUCAGAACUCGCCAACACGUCUCUCUCAGAACUUCAUAGAACACAUCUCCAAGAAGCAUCUACUUAAAGGACUAAGAGUGGAUGACAAUGACAGGCAAGUCAAAGCUCAUGACUUGCUCCAACACUGUCUUCUCUGGGUGACUUAGAGUCUUCAGCAGAAUGGGCUAAUUUAGGUCAGGCCUCACAAAAGCGUCUCACAAUUUCUCAGUGAACUUUUCUGAGGACUCUGCUCUUCCAGCGUUCAUGCUUAAUGCUCUGCUCGGAGAAUCCAUCUACUAUAGCUUAUAUAGCUUAGAUUCAGCACUCUGCAUUCAGCACAUGACCUGGAUACCUAACAUAAUCCCAAAGGUAGACUAUGUUGCAUUUUAAGGGUCUUGAAAAGAAAUCCUGGGGCUUUACUUACAUUUUUAAUUAAGCUUGUGGGGGAAAAAAUAAUAGAGACAACUGUCAGCAAAGGGUCAAGAAUUAAUUGGGUCUGAUGGUACCCACCUGUAAUCUUUGCUACUUAGGCAGGCAGGAGGAUAACAAGUUCAAGGCCUGCCUAAGCAACUCAGUGAGACCCUGUCUUGAAAAUAAAAAGCGAAGAGAGGCCUGAGAGGGUGGUUCUGUGCUAAUGUGCUUAACAUAAUUAGAGCUUUUGAGUCAAUUCCAGUACCAGAAAUGGAAAAAGUAGCCAAAAUUAUGAUGUUAACUUAGGAGGAGUGAUAUUUAUUUUCCAGGGCUCUUAUUUUAUCUCCAACACAGAGGAGCCCAAUUUUCAAUUAUAGAGUACUACAUGAAUUCCUACUACCUAUUUCCUCCUCCAAGGUAACGGAAGAACGUCGAAAGCGAAGAGGGUAAUAACAUUAUUCAAUACGAUCCAGGGAAACCCCAGAGCCACCAGCAGUCUUUUGACUCUCGUGUCUCCAAGAAUGUUGAUUCUGACCAGUUUUCUUUUCAUCACUGCAGCUCAAGCAGAAUAGAAAGUCAUCUCCAUGUCCACCUCCAUGGGGAUGGGUCAGAGGGGAGGAAGGACAGAAGUGGAGAACUGGCAAACUUCUGCAAGGGAGGCUGAUGCAUUCUUCUGAGUCACGAUCAACCAAUUUUGUGGUCAUUCUUAUUGACUAGUCAGUCUGAUUAUUUUUAAGCAUCCAGACAUUUGGAUCAAAACACUGGAAAUUCCUUGGCUCUGCUCUUGGUCUAGGAGAGUUCAUUUCAGAAUACCCUUAUUUGAAAUUACAUUUUGAUAAUAGAGGUCACACAUAAGCUUGCUUCUGCAAAUAUCCUCAUUUUCUAAGUUCCUAAUUCUUUACAGAAGCCACUCAGUGUCCCCAGGAUGAAAAAAAAAAGCAGUUCACCCAUCCUUAGGACAUUAUUUUCACUAUCUAAAAGUCUAUACUGGAGACCACUGCCCUCCAUACACCAACCAACUUCAUUCACACUGGGUGUCAACAUUUCGAAGUGUGCAUUUUAUAACCCCCCUUUUUAAAUCUUACAAAAACCAUUUGACCACUAUCAAAGCACUCCCCUGACUGCUUUGUGAGCUCCUUAUUUGCUGGAUCUAACAAGCGCCAUUAUUUUGUUGUUGUUCUAUUUCUGUGUUUCUUUCCAAUGAAACUGAGAUAAAGAAGCCCUGGUGUAGUCUCAUUGAAGAGCUCUUGAGUUCACUGUUAGGUAUUUCUAAACUGACUGGAAUGCUGGCGUUUCACUGGCUCUUACAUUUAGAAGCCUCUAAACAUCUAAUUGUCAAAGGGCUAAAUUCCAUUCAAAGAUGGCUGAAAAUGAAGAGUGAGGAUUCCCUAGGUGAGGUGCAUGCUGGGAGAAUGAGGUCUUAGUUUCGGGUGACUGGAAAUGGGAGAUUUCUUUUCUUGGUUUUGAAGGCCUUUAUCUUUAAAGCCAGCCAGACCUGCCCACCCAAAGCUGCUUCUACUUUCCUGUGACAGUGAGUAGAAGCUGUCUGAGGAAACAUUAGAACCAUGGGAUGUGGAUAAAUAUAUUGUCUCUCACACACACGCUGACAUCCUCACAACCUACUCCAUUGGCAGGGUGAUUUUUCCUUAGACAUGACCUAAUCUUAUUUAGGCUCAAAGUCUUCUCAGUGUGGGUCUUUUUAGCUGCUUUAUACCAUGAAAAUAUGCACUGUGAGACAGCAGCUCAGGCUUUAUUAUUGUUAGUCAUGCUCAAAAGAAAAUAAGGAACCAGUCUAGAACAAUGAUGGACUAGGAAAGAAAACACGAUCGUAAGAGUGUUUUUAAAAACUGAAGCACCUCAGGAGACUAAAUAUUCGGAAUAGCACAAUCUAAAAUGCCAGAAGAGCUACAUAUAGAAAACUCUGGAAGAGAAAACACGUUUAAAUGGGAACACUCAUCUAUGGGAAAGAGAAAAAAGUCUUAAGAAAUUGGCAAAGAAUUACAGUGAACAUCUGCAAUUUAGGCCUUAAAUUAUGAUAAUAAUUGGUAUUAACAAGUGUUGAGGUACAGCGGAGGACAUGUAUUUUUUAAAUGUUGAGUUUUAACGGGAUAAAUGCUAGAAGCGAGAGACAGGCUAGAAGACAGAGAAUUGUCUCCUCUACCUUGUGAGAAAGCAGAGCUGGACUGAAGCCAAAAUCCUGCUCAACUGGCUAGACAGGAAGAAAGGCAAGGGUGGAUGAACCAGCACCAUCACGAACACUUGCUCAGAAGGGAAUCUAGGAGGCUAGGGAAAUGCUACUGAUGCUUAAAGAUAUAGUUCAUGCUAUACCCUGUCUGCCUUUCCAUGUUCACCAGAUACAGUCCAGGAGCAAAGGAACACAGGAUGCUUCUACAGUGUCUACAGGUUUUGGUCUUACUGCCGUGAGAUAGAAGGGAAUCGUGAAACAUGUGGAGUACCUUUUCUCCAAGAGGAACCAAAAUGCUGCAGGCUUAGACCUAGCCCAAAAGGAUGCGCACACUGUCUCUGUCUUUUAACUACCAAUGCCUGAGCCUGCUUGGACAAUUUGGGAGUUGUGAGUAUUUUUAAAAACUGAAAGUAUCACUCUAAAAUAAGUGUCCUGCAGAGAAGACAAAUUGGGCUGCCUGCAGAGCCAUUAAAACCACCAUACAUUUGCAUAAGGAGCUUUUUUUUUAAUCUUCUUAAAGAUCAUGUGUGUGUACAAACAGCACCUUCCCCCACCCCUGCAUUGGUAUCUUUCCUAGAAAAGUAGCUUUUUCUGGUUGUCUACAAUCAAUGAAGACGAUCAGUCAUUACAGCAUAUGGCUUCCAUCCACCAGGACUAUGGUGACUUCCUUUUGUUUAAAACUUGCACAUCAAGGUGAUAUCUCCCUGUCAGCCACCUGAACAGACAGGGUCAUGUUUGGGGCAAAGUCCCCUAGAAGAAGCAUUCCAAGUACAUGGAUCCCACAGGAGGCAUUAUAAAGAACUCAUUGUUAUCUCAACUCCUGGGCAGACUUGUUCUACACACUAGGCCAAUUUUCUUUGGAGGAGCUGUAUAGAUACUCCCACACCGGGCUGGGAUUUCAGGUGUGUUACUGCAGUCAUUCAGGUCCUUAAAGACACACCCUCCAUUCACUAUUUUCCCAAUAUUAAAAACAAUCAGUUGGACCUGCAUAUAAAAAUAUGAAUCCAACUUAACACAUGAAUAUGACUGCUCCCUGACCCACUUGUGACUACAGUUGAAUUGCACUUUUCCUUCUCAAGUGAGGAUUCUGGCUUACUAAGUAAGCGUUCCUGGGCCAACUCGCACUCUGGAUCCAUGGAAGCCAGUCUGCAUAGACUGUGCGUCUCGAGGCGAUGCCAGGCAAAGAGCCUCCCUGGAUGAGUGGCCUUUGCAGAGAAGCUCCAGGAAAAUGGUUCUCUGGUGAUGUAUUAGGCACUACAGAAUAAAUCUUCCUGUCUGCUGCCAGCA
rnacentral:sRNA from 1 species